rnacentral:lncRNA from 1 species
CCAAAGAAGUAUUUGCCCCCACGUACGGGUCACCCGGCAAUCCUUCUCGGAGAUACGACGACCCUACAACCUCUUCUUCGGCACGUCUCGGAAGAAGUCAAAACGAACCCGAUCGGACUUGCAGAUCCAGCAAAGAGCAGUAUGAAAAGAAUAAAAUAAAACUGAAUAAAAAUGUAAAAAUAAAAUUUGGAAGUGGCUAAGAGGGAGAAGAAUUUUUCCAGAAUUUUUUCACUAUUUUUCUGAAAUUUUUCGUGCUACCAAAGAGAUGAAAUCAAGGGGUUUAAAUAGGGGUUUUUACAGGGGCCGUUUGGUCAUUUACGGACGCGUUUUCAAACGCAUCCGUUUUCAAAUGCGUAACGCCCGCUGGGCGUUACCUUUUCUCAAACGCGCACGCGGCCCGAGAUUUUGGCCGCGUGCGCAUUUAAGUUUUUUUUUU